GAUGAAGAACGUAGCGAAAUGCGAUACUUGGUGUGAAUUGCAGAAUCCCGUGAACCAUCGAGUCUUUGAACGCAAGUUGCGCCCGAAGCCAUUAGGCCGAGGGCACGCCUGCCUGGGCGUCACACGUCGUUGCCCCCCCAUCUACUCCUUCGGGAUUGCGGGGGGCGGAUGAUGGCCUCCCGUGCGCCUCGUCGCGCGGUUGGCAUAAAUGCCAAGUCCUCGGCGACGCACGCCACGACAAUCGGUGGUUGCGAAACCUCGGUUGCCCGUCGUGUGCGGUCGUCGCGCAUCGAGGGCUCGAAAAAAUUGCCGGGCUCCGGCUCGGCUUUCAACGCGACCCCAGGUCAGGCGGGGUUACCCGUUGAAUUUAAGCAUAUCAAUAAGCGGAGGA
rnacentral:misc_RNA from 1 species